rnacentral:rRNA from 1 species
GCCCAGUCGUAAACUUUUACUUACAUUUUAAUCGCCAGGGAACUACGAGCUAAGCUUAAAACCCAAAGGACUUGACGGUACCCCAUAUCCCCCUAGAGGAGCCUGUCCUGUAAUCGAUAAUCCACGUUUAACCUCACCAUUUUUAGUUAAUCAGCCUGUAUACCUCCGUCGUCAGCUUACCACGUGAGCGCCAAUUAGUGAGCCCAAUGUUAUUUCACCAACACGUCAGGUCAAGGUGCAGCAAAUGAAAUGGGAAGAGAUGGGCUACACUUUCUAUUAUAGAAGAAACGAAAAACUACCUAUGAAACCUAGUUGGAAGGCGGAUUUAGCAGUAAAAAGAAAUCAGCAUAUUCAUUUUAACCCGGCACUGGGGUGUGU